GAUGAACGCUGGCGGCGUGCCUAAUACAUGCAAGUCGAGCGAACGGACGAGAAGCUUGCUUCUCUGAUGUUAGCGGCGGACGGGUGAGUAACACGUGUAUAACCUACCUAUAAGACUGGGAUAACUUCGGGACACCGGAGCUAAUACCGGAUAAUAUUUUGAACCGCAUGGUUCAAAGGUGAAAGACGGUCUUGCGGUAACUUAUCGAUGGAUCCGCGCUGCAUUAGCUAGUUGGUAAGGUAACGGCUUACCAAGGCAACGAUGCAUAGCCGACCUGAGAGGGUGAUCGGCCACACUGGAACUGAGACACGGUCCAGACUCCUUCGGGAGGCAGCAGUAGGGAAUCUUCCGCAAUGGGCGAGAGCCUGACGGAGCAACGCCGCGUGAGUGAUGAAGGUCUUCGGAUCGUAAAACUCUGUUAUUAGGGAAGAACAUAUGUGUAAGUAACUGUGCACAUCUUGACGGUACCUAAUCAGAAAGCCACGGCUAACUACGUG
rnacentral:rRNA from 1 species